GACUCCUUUGCUCCUAUUUCGUAAACGUGUGCUAAUCUCUGUUACAUGUUUGCUGAUGCCUGCUCGUUAAUUUUGGCUUCCAGUUUAUUAAUUUCUGUUCCCCGAAUCCUCGCGACUGAAUUAAGGGCGGAGCGGUAUCUCUACAACCUAAGACGGAGUUAAAUCGAGGGGGACUUUUGUUCUUCAGUUUUGAAGAAAAAAGAAGAAAACAUGGCACCCUUUGAUGUGUAUUGAUACUCAGCGGAAUUUGAAUGUACCUUAAAAAGAGCACCUGAAGGCGCGCUGACAGAGCCGGUCCUCGUUAGUAUAGUGAAACUCCUUACUCUGGGAAAAUCAACCUGACUAGCCGUCGAGAUUCGGUCUGACGGGCGCCCAUCGAGGACCCAGCUGCAGUCACUGUCCAGCUCCCUAGUGUCACAUGGUUAGGAGAAAGAAGACCAAGUUCUCCGCCCUGCCGCGGUAUUUCCAUGCCCUGCAUGCCCACAGCGCGGCUGCAAAGGGCUCGGUUUGGACGGUGCUGUCCCCGAACAAGACUGCCAACUUCCAAGGCCAGGAAAUGCUCCUUCUGUCGCAAAUAAUUCCAUCCUCUUGUAUCUCGCUAGGGGCCCAGGCUGGCCCUUAAAAAAAGGUUUAUGGGUUUCAGGCAGGAGGUAGGGGGACGCUGCACUGAAACGUCUUCUUGUCUUAACUCCGUUGCAGACUCCUUCCUGAGUAGCCAUCAGCCUUCCCAGGCUCCUACUCUUUCAUUUGUUUGUCUGGGUUCUCCCCACAUCCCCACAUUCAUUCUGCAAAUAUUUACCGAAUACUUACUAGGUGCCAGGCACUGUUCUAGGCGCUGGGCUGUAGCAGGAACCGGAGUGGCCCGACUUCUGCCCUACUGACACAGACAAUAAACAAAUGCUAUAAAAACA